ensembl:lncRNA
AUGUACAUAUUUUUUUUUCUAGCCCCCAGUGAAUCCGCUGUGAAAAAGCGUAUCAGGACUCUUGGAUAUCUUCAUGUGUUUCUUCCAAAUAUUAUGAUGUUUGUGGCCUUUGUCCUCUGGGGUGUUACUGAAGGUUUUCUGUAUGAGACGGUCUCUUGCUGUGCUCUUUAUAUACUGAGGCCUCUGAUGUUGCUUUAUGUUGCGCCAUAUUUAGAGAAGACGUCAGGUGAAGCUCUUUUCACUGAAAUCAUCAUUUUCAUAGUAGUUUAUGUUUCAGUUCUUAUGUGUCGUGCUUGGGAAUCAGUUGUACAUUAUGCCAAAUCAGACAAAAUCGUGGUAUUGGCUGUGUAUGGCGUAAUGAUUCUGUUUAUUGUCAUCGGCGUCAUUUACGUUUUGUCUAAAAAGAAGGAGAUGCCAUGCCAUGGAGCGAUAUGUAAUUGGAUAUGGGAUCAAUUAGCAAUUGCAUCUGGAUUCAUCUUUUUAAUACUUCCUUCAUUGCAAUUUGCUGUUGUGUACUUUGCUUUUGGAGCUGCCAGAGGAGGGUAUUAUGUGUCCAUAGCUGUCCCAGUUUUCUAUUUUCUCUCAUUUUCCUGUUUGUUUAAACUACAGGGAGGGAAAAGCUGUUUAGAAUUACUCAAUAAAACAGCAUGGAUAAUCUACAUGUUUAUCAUGAAUACUGUAAUGGUUAUUUUCUAUAUCACAAUAGUGACAAUUAAAAGAGAUGGUGCAGGAUGGAUCUGCAUGGCUAUAUUUCACCAAGCCCUAUGGAUGAUCGCAAUUAUUUUAUUCAUUGCCAGUGGGAAAACAGAAAAUGGGGGGAAAAAAACAACCUUGAAUUCCACAUGUGAUUUUACAGAAAAUCACAUGCAUUUAGAUUUAGAUCUAACCAUCACCUUUAAAAAGAUGUUGUAUGUGUUUGGAUCAGUUGGUGUUGUUGUACUGAACUCUGGUACACUGAUGACUGAACUGAUACUGAAAACAGUGAAUGGCGAGCGUGGAGUGGGGGAUCUGAGAGUCAUCGUCUUUCCCUCUGAAAGUCUCUUUGCUUUUUCUCUGUUGAUUUUACUCAUGUUUGGACCCUGGAUUUCAGACAUGAAGUGUCUGCAGUGUUUUCAGGAAGCAGCAAGGCCUCUUGACAUUCCAGUCACCAGAUCAGACCAGAACCAGGGUUCUCAGGAUUCAGCAAGAUCUGAAGAAACUCCAACCAAUGGAUUAAACCAGCAUCAGAAAACCACAGAAUCACAUGAAACAAUUCCUCUAGUGAAUAAAGAUAAGGAGGCUAAUAGGAGUGACAUGACAGAAACUGUUUCAGUGGUAUCUCAAACAUAAUUGUAAAUGAUAGAAAAAGACAAGAUUUAUAUUUAACGGAACAUUUUUAUUGAUGGGUUGUCAAAAAAUGGACAAAACUAUAUUGAAAAAGCUGAUUCAUACUAGAAAUGAAUAUGCUCAUUUAAAACCCAUUUUGUCAGGCCUCAAACUUGGUAGCAAUGUGAUAUUAUUUUGGCCUACUCAGUGCACCCAAUUAUUACAAGCAUCUGUCCAACUAUGCAUUCUCUGACAUGAAGGUCAACUCUAAUUCUGGCUGACUUAAGCCUAUCUGAAAAAAUUAAAGCACUUUUCCAUAUGUUUUACUUUUGUUCUAUUGCAUUUAAUUAUGAAUGCUUGCAAUUAUUUUCUUGGUAAUUUUUUUUAUUAUGACUCUUUACUUACCUUUAAAAAAAUUAUAUUUUAACCAUAAUAAAAAAAAAAAUGCUUGGAUAACUUGGUCGUUU